AUGGUGGAGGUGGAGACUUAUAAUAGUAAGGUGGAGGAGGGGAAUUCUUUGGAGGAGGUGGAGAUGUGUAUUGGUAUGGAGGUGGUGGUGACGGGGAUGGUGGAGGAGGAGACUUGUAAGAGUACGGUGGAGGGGGAGACUUUUUAGGUGGUGGAGGUGAGGCGUAGUGGUAUGGAGGAGGAGGGGAUUUCUUUGGAGGAGGUGGAGAUGUGUAUUGGUAUGGAGGUGGUGGUGACGGGGAUGGUGGAGGAGGAGACUUGUAAGAGUACGGUGCAGGGGGAGACUUUUUAGGUGGUGGAGGUGAGGCGUAGUGGUAUGGAGGAGGAGGGGAUUUCUUUGGAGGAGGUGGAGAUGUGUAUUGGUAUGGAGGUGGUGGUGACGGGGAUGGUGGAGGUGGAGACUUAUAAUAGUAAGGUGGAGGAGGGGAAUUCUUUGGAGGAGGUGGAGAUGUGUAUUGGUAUGGAGGUGGUGGUGACGGGGAUGGUGGAGGAGGAGACUUGUAAGAGUACGGUGGAGGGGGAGACUUUUUAGGUGGUGGAGGUGAGGUGUAGUGGUAUGGAGGAGGAGGGGAUUUCUUUGGAGGAGGUGGAGAUGUGUAUUGGUAUGGAGGUGGUGGUGACGGGUAUGGUGGAGGUGGAGACUUGUAAUAGUACGGUGAAGGGGGAGACUUUUUAGGUGGUGGAGGUGAGGUGUAGUGGUAUGGAGGAGGAGGGGAUUUCUUUGGAGGAGGUGGAGAUGUGUAUUGGUAUGGAGGUGGUGGUGACGGGGAUGGUGGAGGAGGAGACUUGUAAUAGUACGGUGGAGGGGGAGACUUUUUAGGUGGUGGAGGUGAGGCGUAGUGGUAUGGAGGAGGAGGAGAUUUCUUUGGAGGAGGUGGAGAUGUGUAGUGGUAUGGAGGUG
rnacentral:lncRNA from 1 species